rnacentral:rRNA from 1 species
GACGAACGCUGGCGGCGUGCUUAACACAUGCAAGUCGAACGGAAAGGCCCUGCUUUUGUGGGGUGCUCGAGUGGCGAACGGGUGAGUAACACGUGAGUAACCUGCCCUUGACUUUGGGAUAACUUCAGGAAACUGGGGCUAAUACCGGAUAGGAGCUCCUGCUGCAUGGUGGGGGUUGGAAAGUUUCGGCGGUUGGGGAUGGACUCGCGGCUUAUCAGCUUGUUGGUGGGGUAGUGGCUUACCAAGGCUUUGACGGGUAGCCGGCCUGAGAGGGUGACCGGCCACAUGGGGGCUGUGAUGCGGCCCGGCCUCCUCCGGGAGGCAGCAGUGGGGUGUGUUGCACGAUGGGCUGAGGUCUGAUGCCGCACCGCCGCGGUCGGGAUGCGGGCCUUCCGGUUGUAAACCGCGUUCGCCUGGGACACAGCGUGAGUGACGGUGAUGGGUAAGGACGCACCGCCUACCUACGUG